rnacentral:rRNA from 1 species
UACGUAGGGUGCAAGCGUUAAUCGGAAUUACUGGGCGUAAAGCGUGCGCAGGCGGUCUAUUAAGACAGGUGUGAAAUCCCCGGGCUUAACCUGGGAACUGCGCUUGUAACUGAUAGGCUUGAGUGUGGCAGAGGGGGGUGGAAUUCCAGGUAUAGCAGUGAAAUGCGUAGAUAUCUGGAGGAACACCGAUGGCGAAGGCAGCCCCCUGGGCUAACACUGACGCUCAUGCACGAAAGCGUGGGGAGCAAACAGG